rnacentral:rRNA from 1 species
CAGCCGGAUAAUCGGGAGAAAUUCCGUCUAAUACGGCAUAAUGCAUCGACGGGACAUCCUGUUGGUGCCAAAGGUUGAUUCCGGUGGCGGAUGGGCAUGCGUCGCAUUAGUUAGUUGGCGGUGUAACGGACCACCAAGACGACGAUGCGUAGGGGUUCUGAGAGGAAGGUCCCCCACACUGGUACUGAGACACGGACCAGACUCCUACGGGAGGCAGCAGUGAGGAAUAUUGGUCAAUGGGCGGGAGCCUGAACCAGCCAAGUCGCGUGAGGGAUGACGGCCCUAUGGGUUGUAAACCUCUUUUGCCGGGGAGCAAAGUGCCGCACGUGUGCGGUUUGGAGAGUACCCGGAGAAAAAGCAUCGGCUAACUCCGUGCCAGCAGCCGCGGUAAUACGGAGGAUGCGAGCGUUAUCCGGAUUUAUUGGGUUUAAAGGGUGCGUAGGCGGACGCUUAAGUCAGCGGUAAAAUUGCGGGGCUCAACCUCGUCGAGCCGUUGAAACUGGGUGCCUUGAGUGGGCGAGAAGUACGCGGAAUGCGUGGUGUAGCGGUGAAAUGCAUAGAUAUCACGCAGAACUCCGAUUGCGAAGGCAGCGUACCGGCGCCCAACUGACGCUGAAGCACGAAGGCGUGGGUAUCGAACAGGAUUAGAUACCCCGGUAGUCCACGCAGUAAACGACCAUAACGAGUUGUCCGGGGCGAUUGAGUUCUGGGUGACACAG